rnacentral:rRNA from 1 species
GAUGAACGCUGGCGGCGUGCCUAAUACAUGCAAGUCGAGCGAACAGACGAGGAGCUUGCUCCUCUGACGUUAGCGGCGGACGGGUGAGUAACACGUGGAUAACCUACCUAUAAGACUGGGAUAACUUCGGGAAACCGGAGCUAAUACCGUAUAAUAUAUUGAACCGCAUGGUUCAAUAGUGAAAGACGGUUUUGCUGUCACUUAUAGAUGGAUCCGCGCCGCAUUAGAUAGUUGUUAAGGUAACGGCUUACCAAGGCAACGAUGCGUAGCCGACCUGAGAGGGUGAUCGGCCACAAUGGAACUGAGACACGGUCCAGACUCCUAAGGGAGGCAGCAGUAGGGAAUCUUCCGCAAUGGGCGAAAGCCUGACGGAGCAACGCCGCGUGAGUGAUGAAGGUCUUCGGAUCGUAAAACUCUGUUAUUAGGGAAGAACAAAUGUGUAAGUAACUAUGCACGUAUUGACGGUACCUAAUCAGAAAGCAACGGCUAACUACGUG